CUCAAAAUAUUUCAAGCUCGUUGUAAUAUCUUUCACCUUCUGAAUGUACUUCAUCAUAGUAGGGUCUCGGGCUUCAAAUUCAUCUUUGACUUAUCCAACAAUCAGUUGUGAGUCAGUGAAGACCUUCAAACUAUCGAUCUCAAGCUCCUUAGCUAUCUUCAAGCUGGCUAAAAGUGCUUUAUAUUCAGUUUGAUUAUUUGAGGCUUUAAAGUUGAAUCGAAGGACGUAUUCAGUGAAUACCCCUUCAAAAUUUAUGAGUAUAAGGCUGGCUCCACUACCUUAUGCAUUAGAUGCUCUGUCAAUAUGCAACACCCAAGUCAACCUUAGGUCGGGGUUGGGAGUCGUAGCCUCCUUUAUUGUAUUAUCAUCUGUAUCUUCUAGCUUAUUGUCAGAUAUUGUAUAUUCUAUGACAAAGUCGGUCAGAACUUGUGCCUUCAUGGAUGAUCGUGGGCGAUAUUGUAUGUCGAACUCACCAAGUUUCACUGCUCAUUUUGCCAUCCGACUUGACGUAUCAGGUCGAUGUAAGAUCACCUUCAACGGUUGAUCUGUCAAGACCACAAUUGGAUGUGCUUGAAAGUACGGAUGAAGUCAUUGUACCUAUAUGAUUAGGGCGUAGAUCAUUUUCUCUGCUCUUGAGUAUCGGACUUCGACAUUG
rnacentral:lncRNA from 1 species